rnacentral:rRNA from 1 species
UACGUAGGGGGGCAAGCGUUGUCCGGAUUUAUUGGGCGUAAAGAGCGUGUAGGCGGCCUGACAGGUCUGCUGUGAAAACUCGAGGCUCAACCUCGAGAUGUCGGCGGAAACCGUCUGGCUAGAGUCCGGAAGAGGAGAGUGGAAUUCCUGGUGUAGCGGUGAAAUGCGCAGAUAUCAGGAGGAACACCAAUGGCGAAGGCAGCUCGCUGGGACGGUACUGACGCUGUGGCGCGAAAGCGUGGGGAGCGAACAGG